UCCUUCAGCUCUUGCGUGGUUUCCCACUGAUGCUAAGCAGGGUUGAGCCUGGCCAGUAUUUGGAUGGGAGAUCUCCUGGGGAAAACUAAGGUCGCUGCUGGAA
rnacentral:rRNA from 1 species